CCUCCACCAACUCCAUCUAAAGCAAGCCCAGAACCAACUGCAUCGAAGGACAAGACACCCGCACCUCCAACCUCUGGCAUCAAGGAGCCAGGACCCUCAAACCCAGAAGGGCCAGUAACACCGAAACCCCCGGUUGAGGAAAAGCCAACAAAGGCAGCAUCAGAAGAAAGUGGCCCUCCUCCUGCAAAACCAACUCCAUCGAAGGAGAAGUCACCCCCACCUCCAACCUCUAGCAACAAGGAGCCAGAACCAUCGCCCGCAGAAGGUCCAGUGACACCGAAACCCCCAGUUGAAGAAAAGCCAACAAAGCCAGCUCCUGAUAAGAGUGGCCCUCCUCCUCUAGAACCAACUGCAUCGAAGGAGAAGCCACCCCCACCUCCAACCUCCAGCAACAAGGAGCCAGAACCAAGGUCCUAUAUUAGGCAGGGUCCUAUAUUAUCAUCACAUUCAUAUUAUUACGAUUAUGCUCGUUUACCCACUGCUUUGUAACCUGCCCGACAGACUUAACUCAUUGA